AGUGAACGCUGGCGGUAGGCCUAACACAUGCAAGUCGAACGGCAGCACAGUAAGAGCUUGCUCUUACGGGUGGCGAGUGGCGGACGGGUGAGGAAUACAUCGGAAUCUACUUUUUCGUGGGGGAUAACGUAGGGAAACUUACGCUAAUACCGCAUACGACCUACGGGUGAAAGCAGGGGAUCUUCGGACCUUGCGCGAUUGAAUGAGCCGAUGUCGGAUUAGCUAGUUGGCGGGGUAAAGGCCCACCAAGGCGACGAUCCGUAGCUGGUCUGAGAGGAUGAUGAGCCACAGUGGAACUGAGAGUCGGUCGAGAGUCCUACGGGCAGAGCAAGUGCGGGAGAUUGGAGAAUGCGUGCAGGCCUUGACCAGCUGUACCGCGUAGGUGAAGAAGGCCUUCGGAUUGCAAAGCCCUUUUGUGGUGAAAGAAAAGCAGCCGGUUAAUACCCCGCUGCUCGGACGGUAGCCAAAGAAUAAGCACCGGCUACCUUCGAG
rnacentral:rRNA from 1 species